CUUUAAGCCAUGGGCCAAAGAAACCUCCAAAGACGGAAAGCAGAGUGGAUUCACAUAAGAGACUCCAAGAAAGGCUCUCAAAGCAGAGCAAGGGGAAUGCAGAUCCAGUAAUUCUGGAAAGAGGAAGGACGGUGGAGAUGAUCACCUCCAUGGCCAUGGAAUCCAUGCGGGAAGAGAUGGAGAAGAUUCUGAGCGAGAAACUGGCUGUGUUGCAGAGACAACUGGAGAUGACCCAGCAAGCAAUCCCCCCCAUGAAGGAAAUGACCAACACCUGGGCCUCCCUUCAAAAACUCCCUGAGAACAUGCAAGCCCUGCAGAAAGGUUUGGAGAAUCUGCAGGUGUCCACAAAGGAAGACCUUCAGACGCUCAGAGCAGACCUGGAGGAAAGAGUACCAAAAGCAUGGAAUGUACCCGAAAGGUCUGAGUCUAAAGAGAGUCUGGUGGAGGUGGAGAACCAGGCAGGAAGGACGGUGGAGAUGAUCACCUCCAUGGCCAUGGAAUCCAUGCGGGAAGAGAUGGAGAAGAUUCUGAGCGAGAAACUGGCUGUGUUGCAGAGACAACUGGAGAUGACCCAGCAAGCAAUCCCCCCCAUGAAGGAAAUGACCAACACCUGGGCCUCCCUUCAAAAACUCCCUGAGAACAUGCAAGCCCUGCAGAAAGGUUUGGAGAAUCUGCAGGUGUCCACAAAGGAAGACCUUCAGACGCUCAGAGCAGACCUGGAGGAAAGAGUACCAAAAGCAUGGAAUGUACCCGAAAGGUCUGAGUCUAAAGAGAGUCUGGUGGAGGUGGAGAACCAGGCAGGAAGGACGGUGGAGAUGAUCACCUCCAUGGCCAUGGAAUCCAUGCGGGAAGAGAUGGAGAAGAUUCUGAGCGAGAAACUGGCUGUGUUGCAGAGACAACUGGAGAUGACCCAGCAAGCAAUCCCCCCCAUGAAGGAAAUGACCAACACCUGGGCCUCCCUUCAAAAACUCCCUGAGAACAUGCAAGCCCUGCAGAAAGGUUUGGAGAAUCUGCAGGUGUCCACAAAGGAAGACCUUCAGACGCUCAGAGCAGACCUGGAGGAAAGAGUACCAAAAGCAUGGAAUGUACCCGAAAGGUCUGAGUCUAAAGAGAGUCUGGUGGAGGUGGAGAACCAGGCAGGAAGGACGGUGGAGAUGAUCACCUCCAUGGCCAUGGAAUCCAUGCGGGAAGAGAUGGAGAAGAUUCUGAGCGAGAAACUGGCUGUGUUGCAGAGACAACUGGAGAUGACCCAGCAAGCAAUCCCCCCCAUGAAGGAAAUGACCAACACCUGGGCCUCCCUUCAAAAACUCCCUGAGAACAUGCAAGCCCUGCAGAAAGGUUUGGAGAAUCUGCAGGUGUCCACAAAGGAAGACCUUCAGACGCUCAGAGCAGACCUGGAGGAAAGAGUACCAAAAGCAUGGAAUGUACCCGAAAGGUCUGAGUCUAAAGAGAGUCUGGUGGAGGUGGAGAACCAGGCAGGUGAGCAUGGCACCCCUUGAGAAAGCCUUCCUCUCCCUGUGCUGUAACUCCUAAGUGUAGCUCAGGAGCACACAAACACUCACACAGUCUCCUCUAAUGAGAUGGGAGGGAGAACUGAAAAGGUCAAGGUGAGAAAAGAGCAGUUUGGGAAAAGCUAAUUUAACAGGUGAAGUGAACAGUGGGCACACAUGAAAAUGAACAUCAGGAAUUCAUUGUCUACUUCCCACUGUCAUGCAGAUUUCAGCAGUUUCCAGGAAAGCAGGGCUAUAUUGUGUAUAAUUUAAUGCA
rnacentral:lncRNA from 7 species